rnacentral:lncRNA from 1 species
UCGUAGAAGAAAAUUGUUGGUUGUGCUGAACGAAUAGCAGACAGCAUCAUGGUGUAGUGCUGUGGUGCUAGAACCCUAGGACAACACUGGUACGAGGCUAUUCCUAUUUAACUUUUUUACUUGGAUCAUAUAAUUGUCUUCUGUAGUAGUGCACACGAACAUAUAAUUGGGGAUUUAUUCUAGCUUAAAAUUUCUAACUAGGAAUGGUUUGCUUCACAUUUCAACCGGCAGUACUGCUGCUGUGGCAGUACGUGAACCUGGGAGUGAGCCGACGUUCUACUCCAAGUGGUUCAAGGCGGCGACCCCGUUGUCUACAGCUAUAUCUACG